GUCCCAGUGGAAUUAAUGGAAGCUGUCAACAGCCCGCCCCCGACCUCACUGGAUAUAACUGUGUCCUCGGCAGACCUUCAGUUUGUCAGAACCAGUUGGGAUGCAACAGGAUUUUCAGUUUUGCUGCCUUCCAUGCAUGAAUGGCUGUUGGAAUGACCAAGAUGAUUUUUCCACCCAUUCUUGGGACCUGGACUAUGAUGGCCACAGCAGCUAAAGAUGCCAGGUUCUGCAUACUAUGAAACUACUACAUCAGCAGGUCCAAAGGACUCCACUGACUCAACUGAUCUGAGGGACCCCAUGAGAAGCCUACUCAUCAAAGAAUGCAGUUUCUAAAUCCUGAUGAGUUCACCCCCCUUGCCCUGACCAAUCAACAAUCCUAAUUCUCCAGUCCCUUGCCCUCCAUGAUCCUCUUAAAAACCCUAGCCCAGAAUUCCUCAGGAAGAUGGAUUUGAGGGUCUCCUUCCAACUCCUCACUCAGCGCCCUGUGGUCAUUAAACUUUCUCUGCUGCA
rnacentral:lncRNA from 1 species